rnacentral:rRNA from 1 species
ACACGUGGGCAAUCUGCCCUUCACUCUGGGCACCGCCCUGGAAACGGGGUCUAAUACCGGAUAACACUCUGUCCCGCAUGGGACGGGGUUAAAAGCUCCGGCGGUCAAGGAUGAGCCCGCGGCCUAUCAGCUUGUUGGUGGGGUAAUGGCUCACCAAGGCGACGACGGGUAGCCGGCCUGAGAGGGCGACCGGCGACACUGGGACUGAGACACCGCCCAGACUCCUACGGGAGGCAGCAGUGGGGAAUCUUGCACAAUGGGGCGAAAGC